rnacentral:rRNA from 1 species
UACGGAGGGUGCGAGCGUUAAUCGGAAUUACUGGGCGUAAAGCGCACGUAGGCGGUUGAGUAAGUCUGCCGUGAAAGCCCUGGGCUUAACCGAGGAAUGGCGGUGGCGAAUGCUGAGCUAGAGUGUGAGAGGGGGGGGUGGAAUUCCCGGUGUAGCGGUGAAAUGCGUAGAGAUCGGGAGGAACACCAGUGGCGAAGGCGGCCCCCUGGUUCAACACUUACGCUGAGGUGCGAAAGCGUGGGGAGCAAACAGG